UAUGUUCAUCGCAACUCAAGGUAAGGAGGUUAAGGAUUUUUCAAUGAGCUUAAGGUUCCAGGGAUGAGAAAGUUUUUCUUCAAGGUUCAAGGGUUUUGCAUUGGCUUUUAGGCUCAAAAAUGUAGAAGAGGUCGAAGAACAAGAUGGCCUCGAUCAUUUUUAACAAGUAAGCAAAUAGUUCAAAUAGAGAAACUCAGGCAAAAUCAACUAUGAUUUCAAAGUGAUAGCACUCAACAAUAAACUCUGGGGCACAACAUCUCACAGGUUUACUCAGGGUUCCAAAUUUUGAUAAACAUCAUGCCUAGAAUAUUGAUCACAACAAAAAUCAAGCAUCUAUCUAAGCAGAUACAAGCAACCACAAUCUCCGUUCAACAGGCUCAAACACAUCAUCUCAAUCAGAUAUUCAAAACAAUUCAACUGUAUAAUGUGCAAACACAAGAGAUCUGUAUUCAAUUCAAGCAUAGCAU
rnacentral:lncRNA from 1 species